CACACUGGGAUUGAGAACGGCCCAGACUCCUACGGGGGGCAGCAGUGAGGAAUUUUCGUCAAUGGGGGCAACCCUGAACGAGCAACGCCGCGUGCAGGACGAAGGUCUUCGGAUCGUAAACUGCUUUUCUCUGGGACGAGAACGGACGGUACCAGAGGAAGAAGCCCCGGCUAACUACGUGCCAGCCGCCGCCGUAACAC
rnacentral:rRNA from 1 species